rnacentral:rRNA from 1 species
GACGAACGCUGGCGGCGUGCUUAACACAUGCAAGUCGAACGGAAAGGCCCUGCUUUUGUUGGGUGCUCGAGUGGCGAACGGGUGAGUAACACGUGAGUAACCUGCCCUUGACUUUCGGAUAACUUCAGGAAACUGGGGAUAAUACCGCAUAUGAUCUCCUGCUGCAUGGUGGUGGUUGGAAAGUUUCGGCGGUUGUGGAUGGACUCGCGGCUUAUCAGCUUGUUGGUGGGGUAGUGGCGUACCAAGGCUUUGACGGGUAGCCGGCCUGAGAGGGUGACCGGCGACAUUGGGACUGAGAUACGGCCCAGACUCCUACGGGAGGCAGCAGUGGGGAAUAUUGCACAAUGGGCGGAAGCCUGAGGCAGCAACGCCGCGUGCGGGAUGCCGGCCUUCGGGUUGUAAACCGCUUUCGCAUGUGACGAAGCGUGAGUGACGGUAAUGGGUAAAGAAGCACCGGCUAACUACGUG